UUUGUGUGUGUGUGUGUGUGUGUGUGUACACACACACACACACACUUUUACACACACACACACACACACACACAUA